UACAGAGGGUGCGAGCGUUGUCCGGAAUCACUGGGCGUAAAGGGCGCGUAGGCGGCUUGAUAAGCGUGCGGUGAAAGCCCGGGGCUCAACCCCGGGUCGGCCGUGCGAACUGUCGAGCUGGAGCACUGUAGAGGCAGGUGGAAUUCCGGGUGUAGCGGUGGAAUGCGCAGAGAUCCGGAAGAACACCGGUGGCGAAGGCGGCCUGCUGGGCAGUGGCUGACGCUGAGGCGCGACAGCGUGGGGAGCAAACAGG
rnacentral:rRNA from 1 species